GGGAGGGGUCAUGGAUUUAGAUUUCCUGUUCCAAUCAGACCUUACAGUAGAACAAACAAAAGAAUCACAGUCUCGUUGGAGUUUAUAUUUCCAGUUUUUUUAAAAAAAAUCUAUUGCAGUUCACAUGCAGAAAACUGGGCUGUUUAAGAGGAGAUUCUGAUCAGGAGAAUCACAGGAGCUGCAAAAGUAGUUUCUGUCUUCAGCAGGACUUCUGUGUGGAUUUACCUUGGAUCUUGUAACUUUUCAGUAUGACUUGAGAAUUCUGGAACAGACUUUGCAUAUUUACAAGUCAGAAGCUGAUCAGAGGUCCUCCUAAUACCAUCAAGAAUUUUUCAAUGAUUUGUCCCAUCUUCUUUAUGAUCUUCCACCUGCCAUUUAAUGCAAAAGGGCCAUUGAGAUGACUCCUCCAGUCAAGGCCAAGAAAACCCAGAGACUUCUACAAAAGUGGAG